UCUCUACUCUCUCAAUCGCCUCCUACUCUCUUCCUAAGUCUUGUCUUAAGAUCAACGGACUUGUCUUAAUAGAAGAGCUAUUCCUAACAAGAUAAGGAAGAGAGAGAGAUUGAUUUGUCUGAAAGUUGAGUACCUUGGACUCUUGGUAUGAGUCCUAUUUAUUGGAGCAGAAGGGGCAUAGAAAAGGAUUCAAACAUGC
rnacentral:lncRNA from 1 species